rnacentral:rRNA from 1 species
UACGGAGGGUGCGAGCGUUGUCCGGAAUCACUGGGCGUAAAGGGCGCGUAGGCGGCGCGGAUAGUCGGCGGUGAAAGCCCGGAGCUCAACUCCGGGUCGGCCGUCGAUACUUCCGGGCUUGAGCACUGUAGAGGCAGAUGGAAUUCCGGGUGUAGCGGUGGAAUGCGUAGAGAUCCGGAAGAACACCGGUGGCGAAGGCGGUCUGCUGGGCAGUUGCUGACGCUGAUGCGCGACAGCGUGGGGAGCA